UUAAAAACUUUCGAGUGGUUUAAAAGGUUUUAUUUAUUUGGUAAUCUGGGCUUAGACUAAAUGUUACCAGCAGUAAACGUUAUGGCACUCCAGCCUCUGUCUUUCUGCUGGCUUGAGAUCUCAGACGCUCUUGCCCUCAGCUGAGCUGACACUGGGGAAGUUAUCUUCAGUUUUGCCUCCUAGGUUGCUUGUCCCCCUUUUAAUGUUGUACUUCCAGGCUCAGGCCUUCCAGGUUCUUGCCCUCUGUCUAAGACAAAAGAGCCAUACCAUCCUUUAUCUUUCCAGUGAAAAAAAUGUGAAAAAGCCAUACCAUCCUUUAUCUUUCCAGUGAAACUCAGCUCCUGGCUUGGGUCCUGAGAGUCACAUUUUCAUUUUAAGGCUCCCAGCUCUAGUUGUGGAAUGAGCCGUUUUUUUUUUCUCAGUAAAGGUAACUGAACGUGGAAGUGCAGUGGCUUUAGUGCACAGAAGGCCACAGUUAUAUUAGACAGUGUUUUUCAGAGAAGUCGAACCAGGUCGGUGAAGACAGGGAGAUAGUUAGAUGGUUGACUGAGCGAUAGCGGAGGAGAUGAGAGUAAUCGGCCUCAGCUGUGACGAUUAUGAACGACACCAAGACCCACUCUGCAGCGUCUGUAAAAUGUGCGCAGGGACACUGCUAGGAUUCCAGCACAGAAGCCUGGGCGCCCUGUAACCGAGGGGACUCUUCACUAAAUCUGGGCGUGGCUAUGCUUUUCCUCUAAAGGCAGGAGAGGUUGGACUGCUGAUGCCCUGGAGGGGCAAGAAAUGAAGAGUGUCCUCCCUCCCAUUCAGGUGGGGCAGUAGCCGGAGGGAGGGAAGGAGAGGAUUCUCUGGUGUUUUGGUCCAGCAGGUCUUCUAGCUGAAGGGAAGGUCUUCCAUCAGUCCAGCAAACUUUCCAGUGUCCUCUGGAAACGUGCACACAGCUAGGAAGCAAAUGCUUUAUCAGCUUUCAGCAUCUGCCCAGUGUAGUCGACUGCACACCGGAAACUUCCCUCAGGACAGUCUGUGGCUUCCAGUCCUGCAGAGGCCAGGCAAGGAAUGCAGAGCAGAGCACCGGCGAAGAAAACGGUUAUUCCACACCCCUGGUGGUCCUCGUGUCUCCCAUCUGUUCCCUCCUGUAGCCUUAUUAACACUGAGGAGCUCAGGCUGAGGUUAACUGGCCCUCUUCAAAGGUGCUGGGCUUCUUUCUCCUGCAGCUCACUGGCCCUCCCAUGUGAGCGUGUGCAGCUGAGGGGCCAGGGGCCAGGGGCUGAAGAACAAGUCAAGAAGGACUGAUAAAUCAAGUCAGGGAGGAUGAGCAUUCUGAACAGCAAAGAAGAAAUGGGGGCAGAAGUCAUCAGGGGUCAGAUCUAGAAUUUCCUACCUGUGUGUGUCCUGUACAAAUAUUGUGUGCAAUUAUGUGUCCUUAUCUGCACCAGGGUCACUGAACAUCCCUUGUCAGCACUGAUACUGAUCAUAACUACUUAAGAACCGAUGUUAGGAGAAAAAAGUAGGGUUUUUUUCUCUAUUGGCCUUCUACCAAAAAAAAAAGAAAGAAAAUGUACAUUGUGUUCUAUUUAUGAACUCUUUCCUUCUGAGGCACUAGAAUUCUGUGGUCUGCCAUGCAUGAAAGAUGGGAGUGUCUGUAGAAAGAGGCUUCCAGGGGUAUCAUGGCUUACUGCAUACCCACCCAUAAUUCAUCGUAGAGGUGGGUCCAUGUACUUCCUGAGGGAGCGACUCUUCCGUAGCCUUGCACAUGCAAGGCUGUGACUUGCAUGAAGUAUAUGUCUUCAGACUCACCUUUUCUUCACCCCCACUGACAAUCUCUGUCUCCCUGGACUCAGGCCCUCUUUCCUGCCCUGCCUCUUCAAGCACCCCUCCCUGCUGUCCUUAGGGAGCGCCCCUGCAAGGUUAGUGGUUGAUGUGAUGUGAAGAUUGCAGUGAAGAUCUGAAGGCUCUUGAAAGCUUUGGGAACUGGUCAUGACUUAAGGCUGCAGAAACCAAGCUUUGCUUUAUGGAGCUUGUAAACUUACAUCUUGUUUGGUCGUCUACUUGUUGACUGUUUGAAGCAUCAGGUUGACUUGCAAGCUAACUCUAGGAAUCUCCCAAAACCAGCACUUCCUAUUAGAAGUAUUUCCACGCUGUGGUAGAUGCUGGGAUGCAAGCUCAGUCGUCACCCCCUCCCCCCACUGAGGUACCACCUUUUCUAGAACUCAGGCGGCUGUACCAUGUGUAUGUUCCUCUCGUGUAGUUGAGAAGAAAGAACCUCUUUGGCUCUCUAGGAUCUUGUUGUACAAGUCUUCACGUUCUUAUUUCCUCUCUCUCUUUUGAUUAAUUUCUCUGGGAUUACUGGUUCCUAUGUCCUCACAGGUAUCAUGAAUGGUUUCUUCAGAUUGAAGCAUUCCUUCCACUGCCUUCAGGAGCUCGGGGUGGGUGAAUAGUCUCUUUUAAACCAGCUACUUCAUAUUUCAAAAUAUUUUAAGCAUACAAGUUGUAAAGUUCUAUAUAACAAAUACCAUGUACCAAAAUUAAUAAAUUUAAUAGAUGGUAAUAUUUUGCCUAUUUGCUAUCUGUCUAUCUGUUCUCUCUCUCUCUCUCUCUCUCUCUCUGAUUCUCUCUGAAGUACAACAUAGUUACAGUGGGAGCCCCUACUCAGCCACUGCUCUGUCCUCUUAUCCUCUUUCUUUGCCCAAAGGAAAACCACUGUUCUGAACAUUCUUUAUCUGAGAUGCAUUCAUAUCAUAUACUAAAAUCACUUUCAAGAAAGUUACUUUUUACUAUCUUUAAUCCAAAGUUUUUUAUUAUAUAUGGUGGCUCUUUUUCAAACUAUAUCCAGGUUAAAACUGGGCCCCUGAAGGCUUAAACAUUGAUUGCUUUAAUCCAGUCUCUUCCUCUUUAUUGUUUGACUAAAAAUGUCUUCAGUCACAGUGUGGAAUUUAUGCUGACCCUUAAAGCAAAAAAUCAUAUUCAUGAGGAAGCUAGGGAAAAUAAAUAUCCAGAAUUUAAGAAAGUUUUCCACUUUUAAAAAAUGGAGUAAUCCACUGUCUAGCCUGUAAGCUCUCCCUCCAGUGUUUGCUUGGUUCUGACUUUAUCUGCGGCUCCUGGGAGAACAGGAGAGACAGCAGAGCUCCUCUGGGCCAAGCCUGUCGCUACCUGUUCUUGACUCAGCAAGGAGUGCCAGGGAAGGCUCACUGCCCUCCUUUUCCCGAAAGUGGUGCAGAAAAAUUUUAAAUCAAAGUGUCUUCCUUGAGCAAAUGGAACAGGGCCAAGAGGAGAAGCCACACGUGGCUUUAGGAAUGCGCCUGCAGCCCGUCCUCACUUGCUUGAGUCCUUCUGUGCUGGGCACCUUGUGAACAUUGCACUUGGACAUCAGUGACUUUCAUUUCUAAAAGACAGUUUGUUUGUAAUCAUCCAAUGCCAGGAGGUUGGAACACAGUGAUGCUAAUAUGACGAUUCUGAUCAGCUUUGCUGGCAGCUGCCCUGCCUGCCACUCUCCUGGGGUUUGAUGGUUAAAGAACGGGUUUAUUGGAAUGUUUCUGUGAACAACAGCUUUGGCUCCGUUCUCCCACCUCCUGUAGUGUGCACUCUUACGUGCCUCUCACUGAACAGUCCUUAAUGUUACGUUUCCGUCAAGGUUAAUAAAGCCCGGCUGAUCUGCUGUAGGCUUGAGGAUAUCACAUAUCUUUGCAAAAGCGCCCUUUCCCUUGCACAGGCUUGUCUGCAUCCGGAGACUUGCCAUCCUAAAGAUCUAGUUGGAAUACUAAUUUUGAAUAAUUUAGCCUGAUCCAGUUACCUAACAUGCCAGGGGGGAAAGAUCACCACAACAGAUUGGGCAUUCAGAACCUACCUAGUUCAUAGCAUUUAUUAGAAUGUCCUUUGACACUUCCAAGUGUUUACUGUGCU
rnacentral:lncRNA from 1 species